rnacentral:tRNA from 1 species
GGACCUUUAGCUCAGUUGGUCAGACCAGACGGCUCAUACCCGUCCGGUCAUAGGUUCAAAUCCUAUAAGGUCCA